rnacentral:rRNA from 1 species
GACGUAGGGCGCGAGCGUUGUCCGGAUUUAUUGGGCGUAAAGAGCUCGUAGGCGGUGUGUCGCGUCGGCCGUGAAAACCUGCAGCUUAACUGUGGGCUUGCGGUCGAUACGGGCAUCACUGGAGUUCGGCAGGGGAGACUGGAAUUCCUGGUGUAGCGGUGAAAUGCGCAGAUAUCAGGAGGAACCCCGGUGGCGAAGGCGGGUCUCUGGGCCGAUACUGACGCUGAGGAGCGAAAGCGUGGGGAGCGAACAGG